AGCAAAUACCUGGUUAAACACCAGGAAUGACAGUGAAAUUAGUGUCGGUGGACAAGAGAAAAGAUUGGAAUGGAAAUCCUGUUGGAGAGAGGAGCAGAACCCUUCAAGCAUGUGAGAAAAUGCAUCAAACAAAACAUUAAAAUCCACAUUGACCUCAUCCAGAAAAUAAAUCCUGUGAUUUCAACAUUGCUCAUGAAUUUGCAUACCUAUUUUCCCACUGUUUGAUGGGUGAAAGAACGUUGGAGAUAUUGACAGCUUAAACCACAAAUUUUCAAUGUAUGAGGACAUCAGCUACCUGACGAAGGAGCAGCAUUCCAAAAGCUUGUACUUCCAAAUAAACCUGUUGGACUAUAGCCUGAUGUUGUGUGAUUUUUAAUUUUCGAGGAGUAAGUGAGGACUGCAGAUGCUGGAGAUCCUGAAGAAGAGCUUAUGCCCGAAACGUCGAAUCUCCUGUUCCUUGGAUGCUGCCUGACCUGCUGCGCUUUUCCAGCAACACAUUUUCAGCUCUGAUUUUUAAUUUUGUCCACCCCAGUCCAACACCGGCACCUCCACAUCAUCUCUACUUGAAGACUGCUGCAAACUAUUUAUUCAAGUCCUCUGCUGUAUCCUGGUUGUCCAUUAUAAUUUGAAGAACACGCUAAAACAUCUUGAAUAUGCUUUGAUUUAAUUCUUUCUGAUUUGUAUUGUUUCAGUUAGUUCAAAUACAUCCAUAAACUGUUAAUGCCUUUUGAGGUGACAGCAUAGGACUGUAUGCAUGUUACAUGGAGACAAUGUAAGACGAUAGACCAGAGCUAAGUGACCCUGUAACUGACAAGGUAGCUCCAAAUUCUGUAGCUAUGGGCUUUGUGAAUGAUGACAGACAACUAAGUAACUAACAAGUGGACAUUGUUACUCAAACGUCAUCAUUCUCAGUGCUGGUAGAGUACAGUAGCAGAGUUCAAACAAUACAGCUGGAACAUUCUUCAGUGAGAAAUGCCAAGUGGAUAACCUCAUUCAGUCGUCUCCUGCAAACCCAGUAUCACAGUUGUCAGUUUUCCAUGUAAAAUAUCCUUAGCAUCAGCAAAGGAUUGCCUAAUGCUUGUUUGGUGAGUGUGCUCUUGAUGUACACCAUGUAAGGAGACACUGUCAGUUAUUUGCUCGCAUCUAUUCUCUAGGGAAUUUCUCCAGUGACAGCAGGUACUCUCUGUUUCUGCCUUGCUGUGGAAUGUACAGAAGGCAGCAGCUGGCCACUUAGUUCAGGAGGCAGUGAAAUUGAUGGAUAUGGAUUCAAUGUAAGCAAUGUGUUUGUUCCUUAAUCUGUCAUUAAGUAAACUAAAACAUAAAAUCUA